UGCUGAAAAGAAAAAAAAAAAAGGAAUCUGUAUUUGUGUUCUUAAAACUAUGUAAAAAUGAUUAGUUUAAAAUUCUGAAGACUUUCAAUUGUGGGUUUACACUAUCAGAUUACAUGGAAAAUAAAUUUAAGUGUUCUAUAUGAUGAUGGUAAGGUUUAGAAAGGUCAUCAAUUCUAGCUCCACCCCCACCCCACUCACCAGAAAAAGUAGUGAAAUCAAGGGAGUGACAAUCACUUACUACAUACUUUUCAAGAACGUAAGUAUGACUGUCCUGGACCACUGACAAAGAACAUACUAACAUCCCUAUAUGCUGAUUGAAAGAAAACGCAGUGGAAUAAGGAUUUUCCAUGAUAACUAGAAACCUGUGAAAGUUAAGGUUAGUAGAGUAAAAGGCAGUUGAGCAAAAUUCAAAGAGUUAGGUGACCAAUGAUUCAAACCAUUGAAGAUUCCUGAAUAGGAGAUGAGGUGGUGAUUUAAUGAGUAAAAUUCCAUUUUCUGCUAACAUCUUUUUUUUUUAUCUUAAUCCUGAAAAUCUGGACACAACUGAAUUACAACUUGCCCUAACUUGACAAAUAGGCAUCAUAUAAAUAAAUCCAUAUGUCAAAACUAAACAAUAUUCUAUGUGGAGUACAAUGGCACAGUCUUAAUAGCUUUAAAAAUGUCACGCAGAGAAACAACAUCGAGCUAUGACUUUUAGUUCAUCCCUAACUAGAAAAGACUAGCUUUGCCUUCCAAAAAGGGGAAGAGGGUAAAUUAAAUCUAAAUAGGAAACUAAGAUUGCUAAGACAUUCUAAGGACACUGACCAAAAAGCAUUUAUACUGUUUCCAAAUAUUCUUUAUGAGCACAGGCAUAGGAUUUGUUGAGCAUAAGGAUGGAUCAGAACUACAAGUGAAAGUUCACACAAAUCAGAAAGGAAGCCCGGAGGUAUUACUCUCCUUGACGAUAACAUCACCCUAAGGGGAAAAAGGCGUAUCUAUAUGGCAGAGGCUAUGAAUCAUGCUCCAUUCUUUUCUGUGUGACUGUGUGGAGUGCUCAGGACUCUGGAAAGUUCCCGUUUAGCUACAGUGAGCACUUAGCUUCUUACCACGACGCCUGUGGCCUGGGCUGGUCUCCACUGUACGAGGACGACUCCUCCACACAGCAUAAAAACUGAAAUCCACUGUAACCUGCUGAGCGUCCUGUUUAACAUUAGAACGGUACAUAGAGCAGUACAAGGAAUCUUCAACUGGUACGUCACCUACCAACAAACAAUGAACUCAUCAGCUCGGUUUACAUUAGACUCUGACACAAAUGUAUUAUUUCUGAUAUGAACACAGCUGUAGAGAAAAAUAUUCAAUAGUUUGAUAAAGGGUUAGUAAAACAUCUUUUCACCGUGAAAA